AUUAUUUUGUUGAGAAGGAAUAUUAGUUUAUUUUCUAGUUUAAGAGAGUGUAUGGUUGGUGUUAAUGCACACUAGGAAAUUUAUGAACUCACCUUUGAAUUUUUUGUUGAAUUGUUUAAUAGUAGGCAAGAACGGGACUUCCGUUAUAAGGUUAAGUGCCAACAUAUGUUUGUUGGAAGAUAGGUGGUACCGCGAUUGCAUUCGUCCUAUGU
rnacentral:ncRNA from 1 species